GUCAGUGCCCUAGUACAAGAGUGGCAACCUGUUGGCCCUAUCCCGAUCUACUAUUUUACCUCUACUUGUUUGGACGUUCCAUGCUUAUUGUAAUAAAUAAAGCAUAAUAAAAAAGUACUAUAACAAGGGCCAUUGAGGAAAGAAAUAGGAAGAUCUAUGGCAUGGCUUCAUCAUUUAAUUAAAAAGUACUGCCAUCCUCGGCCUCUCCUAAAAUGAUUUUAUGGGC
rnacentral:lncRNA from 1 species